rnacentral:rRNA from 1 species
AUUGAACGCUGGCGGCAUGCCUUACACAUGCAAGUCGAACGGCAGCACGGGGGCGAACCCUCGGUGGCGAGUGGCGAACGGGUGAGUAAUGCAUCGGAACGUGCCCAGUAGUGGGGGAGUAACUAGUCGAAAGAUUAGCUAAUACCGCAUACGACCUAUGGGUGGAAAGCGGGGGAGUUCGCAAGAAACCUCGCGCUAUCGGAGCGGCCGAUGUCUGAUUAGCUAGUUGGCGGGGUAAAAGGCCCACCAAGGCUUCGAUCAGUAGCUGGUCUGAGAGGACGACCAGCCACACUGGGACUGAGACACGGCCCAGACUCCU